GACCCGUCUUGAAACACGGACCAAGGAGUCUAGCAUGUGCGCGAGUCAUUGGGACAUGACUAAACCUAAAGGCGCAAUGAAAGUGAAGGUCAGCCUUGCGCUGACCGAGGGAGGAUGGGCGGUCGUUACGGCUGCCGCCUCGCACUCCCGGGGCGUCUCGUUCUCAUUGCGAGAAGAGGCGCACCAAGAGCGUACACGCUGGGACCCGAAAGAUGGUGAACUAUGCCUGGUCAGGACGAAGUCAGGGGAAACCCUGAUGGAGGUCCGUAGCGAUUCUGACGUGCAAAUCGAUCGUCGGAACUGGGUAUAGGGGCGAAAGACUAAUCGAACCAUCUAGUAGCUGGUUCCCUCCGAAGUUUCCCUCAGGAUAGCUGGCGCUCGUAGCGCACGAGUUUCAUCCGGUAAAGCGAAUGAUUAGAGGCAUUGGGGUCGAAACGGCCUCAACCUAUUCUCAAACUUUAAAUGGGUGAGAUCUCCGGCUUGCUCGAACUAUUGAAGCCGCGAGACUCGAAUCAGAGUGCCAAGUGGGCCAUUUUUGGUAAGCAGAACUGGCGCUGUGGGAUGAACCAAACGCCGAGUUAAAGCGCCUAAAUCGACGCUUAUGGGAUACCAUGAAAGGCGUUGGUAACUUAAGACAUCAGGACGGUGGCCAUGGAAGUCGGAAUCCGCUAAGGAGUGUGUAA
rnacentral:rRNA from 2 species